GAUGAAGAACGUAGCGAAAUGCGAUAAGUAGUGUGAAUUGCAGAAUUCAGUGAAUCAUCGAAUCUUUGUACGCACAUUGCGCCCCUUGGUAUUCCAUGGGGCAUGCCUGUUCGAGCGUCAUUUGUACCUUCAAGCUCUGCUUGGUGUUGGGUGUUUGUCUCGCCUCUGCGUGUAGACUCGCCUCAAAACAAUUGGCAGCCGGCGUAUUGAUUUCGGAGCGCAGUACAUCUCGCGCUUUGCACUCAUAACGACGACGUCCAAAAGUACAUUUUUACACUCUUGACCUCGGAUCAGGUAGGGAUACCCGCUGAACUUAAGCAUAUCAAUAAGCGGAGGA
rnacentral:misc_RNA from 1 species